UACGAAGGGGCGUAGCGUUGUUCGGAUUUACUUGGGCGGUAAAGACGCGUGUAGGCGGGUCGGUUAAGUUGGGGUGGAAAUACCCGACGGCUCAACCUCGGAACUGCCUUCAAAACUAGGCGACCUGGACUCAAGUAGAGGCAAGUGGAAUUGCGAGUGUAGAGGUGAAAUUCGUAGAUAUUCGGAGGAACACCGGUGGCGAAGGCGGCUUCCUGGCAUGUAACUGACACUCAUGUUCG
rnacentral:rRNA from 1 species